AUGCGUCAUGGUCGAAAACCCGCCCCUUCCUUUCGUUGCUACGGACUACAGAGUGUGACGUCGGGCGAUCGAGACUGUGUGUGAGUGUGAUGUGCUGCUUACUCUCAGUGUGGCGUGCCGUCAGGGCUUCCAACUGUGUAGCAUGGUAGUUUAACGUAGCUCCGGUCGGAGCACCAGCUGUUGCCGUCACAACUAUGAUUUUCGGAUGUUCCAUCGUGAGUAUCAUGUCAUCGGAUCAUGGAGCUGAGUGCUUCCUGAGGCUGGGGGAAAUUCUUGGCUGCACUUCAGGCUUUAUCUAAUUAAGGGUUAUUACUGUUGUGUUCAUUGCAGUGAAUUGUGGGUAUGAUUCUGAUUAAUGGGGUGCUUUUCCCUUUUUGUAUAGCUGGUGCGGUUGUACUAGCCUGCCCUACAUACAGGAAGCCUCAGUCCUCCUAUGAUUAUUGUUAACUUUCUCUUGUGUCUGUUUUAUUUAGCCAGUGCUUGAUUGUGUUGGCUGCUCCUUUUUUAAAAUAAUUCUUGGGCAGUCUUUUUAACUUUAAAAUAAAUUGUAUUCUUGUAUGGAAACCCUUGCCUGUUCUAAGUGGAAUGUACAUGCAUGUCUUUUAUUUGGGUUCUUUUCCCCAUUUUCUCGGGGUGGUGUAGUUGGUACAGCAUGAACAAACGAGCCACAUUGCUACAAGGAGAUUAAAACACUACUUACCACUCUC